GAGAUGCCAGAAAAGUGUAUGCUGCUAACUUAUCACUAUAGCGGUUAAAAUCCGUUUACAUCUCU
rnacentral:tRNA from 1 species